UACACAGUAGUGAAUAAGACAUUCUGUAAGUAUGAGACACCCAGCAGCCGUCCUCCUGUGUCAGGAGGACUAAGCAGGACAUAGAGCUCCAUCACAGUGCCUCCACCUCACUCACUGAUACAUGAGAGACACAAUGACUAGAAGAUCCUGGAACUCACCAACAAGAUCAUUCAGCUGCUGACUGGAGAGGAGGGGGAGUGUAUGGAAGAACACAGGGGUCUGUACAAGGACAUGAUGAUGGAGAAUCACCGGCUCCUCACAUCACUGGAUGGACCCAGUAACAGAGAUACCCCAGAGAGAUGUCCCCGUCCUCUGUAUUCCCAGGACUGUACAGAGGAGAAUCACAGAAUCCCACAGGAGGAUC